AAUAUGGCAGAUUUCAUACUGAGUGUUAUGUUCUGUAUCAACUGUCACAGGCAGAAAGAGGCUGUUGAGAAAGACGUGCCAUACAUGAAAAGCAAUGGAGCAGCAGAGACCCAAAAAUGACAACAGAGAGCAUCACAGGGCAUGAACUGGGACCAGAACAGGUCAUUGUCUCGAGUCUGGCGAGCAUCAGUGGCCUCUGCUGUCAAGAUUUGGACACAGGAGAGAUUUCCUCAUUGGUCAGAUCCUACUUCAUGUGCAUUGGACAUCUCAUGCCAGGAAUCCCAGCAUGAUUUUUGUGUUGUGUUUUGGCCUAAACCAUCAGUUCUGUAGAUGCCCUCUUUACUGAGACAACAACAACUGUGUGAAGCCUGACAAAUGCUGAAACUAGAAACUGAAUUUAUUGUUUGAUGUUGAUGUGAACAGGGUUUAAAGUGAUAAAAUGUGUUCCGUGCCUCCAUAUAAAACACAUUUAGAAUUAUUUCUUUGAUUUCAUAUUUGCUUGCUUUAGAAGGAUGUAAAGAUUUGUGUUUAAUGUAUGUAUGAGGACAGGAAGUAUCUUUAAGUGUAGCUUCUCUUAAGAUCUCAUAAGUGACCUAUAUUCUCUUGAAGGCAUGUAUUGUAUAUUGCAGGUAGGGCCAUUCUGUGAAUCCCUUAAAGGUUCGUGUCAUUCUCACAGGGGAAGCCCACUGAAAU